AUCCAGCUGACGAGUCCCAAAUAGGACGAACCGCGCCUACUGGAU
rfam:Schistosoma curassoni strain Dakar, Senegal genome assembly, scaffold: SCTD_contig0005310